rnacentral:rRNA from 1 species
CGGGAAUAUUGGACAAUGGGGGCAACCCUGAUCCAGCGAUACCGCGUGUGUGAAGAAGGCCUGCGGGUUGUAAAGCACUUUUAGUGGGGAAGAUAAUGACGUUACCCACAGAAAAAGCACCGGCUAACUCCGUGCCAGCAGCCGCGGUAAUACGGAGGGUGCAAGCGUUAAUCGGAAUUACUGGGCGUAAAGCGUGCGUAGGCGGCUCUUUAAGUCGGAUGUGAAAUCCCCGGGCUCAACCUGGGAACUGCAUCCGAUACUGGGGAGCUAGAAUGUGGGAGAGGGAAGUGGAAUUUCCGGUGUAGCGGUGAAAUGCAUAGAGAUCGGAAGGAACAUCAGUGGCGAAGGCGACUUCCUGGACCAGCACUGACACUGAGGCACGAAAGCGUGGGGAGCAAAC